rnacentral:rRNA from 1 species
UACGGAGGGUGCGAGCGUUGUCCGGAUUUAUUGGGCUUAAAGGGAGCGUAGGCGGCUUGUUAAGUCUGGGGUGAAAGCCCGCUGCUCAACAGCGGAACUGCCCUGGAUACUGCGGGGCUUGAGCGCAGGCGAGGUUGGCGGAAUGGACGGUGUAGCGGUGAAAUGCAUAGAUACCGGCCAGAACCCCGAUUGCGAAGGCGGCUUACUAGGCUGUAGCUGACGCUGAGGCACGAAAGCGUGGGGAGCGAACAGG